rnacentral:rRNA from 1 species
GCCGGAAUUGCUAGUAAUGGCAGGUCAGCAUACUGCCGUGAAUACGUUCCCGGGCCCUUGUACACACCGCCCGUCACACCAUGAGAGUUGGGGAUACCCGAAGCCUGUGAGCCAACUGUAAAGAGGCAGCAGUCGAAGGUAGAAUCAAUGAUUGGGGUGAAGUCGUAACAAGGUAAC